GUUUCCCCCUGAGGGAAGUAUACCUGUCCUGCCAGCCUUGGUCUCUGGCAGGGAAGGUCCUUCCAACAGAGAGGGAAUUGCUUAGAAUUGACUCAACACUGCCUCCUUGCUGAAUGGAUAAUUCAAGCAAACAACUCAAGAGCUGGAUGCUGCCCAGACAGGUAGGCAGCCAGAUAAAGUGAGUGUCCAGGGAAAGAGCAGUAAGGGUCAGAAGAGAAAGAGGCUGGUGUUCUCACUGCCUCCUGCCUUCCUUAUGACUGUCUGUUCAGAAGUCCUCCUAGCAUCUUUCUUCUGCCUUCCCCUGCUCCUGUCCCUGAAACCUUUUCUUCAAAAGAAGUGGAAAAGAGGAACUGGGAACCCAUAUAGCAACAGCAUCACCUGGAAUGAAUUCCUUUAGAACAUACUGUCUUGGAAAUCUGAAGCCUGCAGGGCUGGACAGGCAAGAAGAGCAGUGAGCACUGCAUGAACCUGCGUGUACUCCGAAAUAUUUUUCAAAUGGAAAAGAAAACAGAGAACACAAUUUUCAAAAUAUCUAGAGCCCUCCAAGAAGUCUUUGUAGAGAUCUAUAAAAUCUCAAGGCAAUUUAAAGAAUAGAAAAAUGUUUUAGAAACACUAUUCUCUCCACAUCCUGGGGCAGCAGCCUUCUCCAAAGAAACAGAAAGAAGGAAAUGGAUUGCCUUAGCAAAAAAACAAAUGAAGACACUCCAAAUAACAGAAGAAUGGGAAGGCUACAGACCUUGAAGUCAGAAGAAAAUUUCCUCUCCUUGCCCCGUUUCUCCUUAAAUGGAUCAUCAGUACAGUCUCUUACUUCUAGAGCCAUGUUAAGCUUUCUUCCCCAAAGUUGUAAUGUCCUUCUUUUGGUUGUGUCGUGUCCUAAAAUCCUACUCUUUGGUACAAGAUGAAGGUAUAUGAAGAGAUAAUGAAGGAAACAAAUUCAAUGUGUUUGCCAAGAACACAGUCUUUUAAAUAACUCUUAAAGGGUUCGUUUAAAACAGUGUAAUAAAUUGUGGUAAUCUAGUACACAAAGCUAGUAGGAACCUCGUUUAUUAAUAAUAUUUCAACAUUGAGCAGUAGAGGGCAGCACUGUCCUUCUUUUGCAAAAUGUUGAGCACUCUUGAGAAGGAAAAUAAAGGCAAAGCUCCUGACCCCUGUGUCUGUGUUUACUUUUAUCAUUAAAAAAAAAACAAAAAAUUGGAGUAUUUUUAUUAUGGUUUAGGUGAUUAUGUAUAAAGAAUGUCAGAGCCUGGAUUGCCUGGAAGUGGUGCACCAGGUAAUGCAAAAAACACGGAAGGUUUGAGGUCCCCCACUCAGGAUAUGGGUUCUGUCUAGUAAAGAUAAACAGUAGCUUGACCCUGGGUAAUCAGAUAGGGUUAUUGUAUGAACAGACCUAAUGCUCCUGCACGUUCUGGAUAGAAGUCAAUCUACUGAAAUAGCAGGAUGUGGUUUUAAAAAAUGUGUGUAACUCAUAUAGUCUUAGCCCUGAUAAGUGCUUCUAAAUUCUUAUUCACUGCCUUUAUUCUGCUGUGUUAGUGUUGCUCUCUGUCAUACGUGGGUCAGGUCAGAACUAGCUCAAAUACAGUAUGUGUAUUAUGACUUUAAGGAGUGGUGUCAGACAAGAUGGGUAAAGAAUGUCUUUCAUGGGACUGCAGUUGGCUAAAUGGCUGUGUAUAAGUAGUGAAAUUGAAGCCUUGUAUGCUCGUCGUCAUUCUAUCACAGUAUGAUUUGAGUUUCCCUAACCGGUAAACAGCAAGAAAAAAUGAUCUGUUAUUUUUUACUAAAGUUACUUGAUGCUCUUUAGCAAGCUGACAGAAUAAUUCUAAUUUUAGCAAAUACAAAACCAUGGUAAUCCUAGCACAUUUGGAUUCUGUUUAACCCUGAAAACUCUUUUGGCAGCAAAUCUUCAAUGCCAAUUUAGAUAAAUCCCACUAGGAAUAAGCACUGAAAGACGUUGAGUCUAGUUCCCAGCUCUGCCAUGUGAAGUUGGGCAAAUUACAGUCUCUGAGCUUUUAUUUCAUCUGUUAAAUGGAGAUAAUACCUCCUAGAUUUAUUAAAAGGGUCAAUUUAGAAAAUAUGUAUUAAAAUGGUUUGAAAGCCAUUUAAGUACCUAAUGAAUAUUUCUAUCACUGUAGCCCAAAAAGAUUCCUGCCUAGAAGACUUUAUGUCUCUUCUCCUCAUUUGGUAUCAUUCUAUUGCCUGAGAUUGUUAAUUAACUUUUAUGUAUACUCAAUAUUUUCUCCCAACUUGGUUGCUAGUUCCUUGAGAACUGAAACCAUCAAUUGCACUUCUUGGUAUCCUCCACAACAAGGUAUCUAGGUACUCAAAUAUUUGUUGGUUGAUUAAAAACAUAAACCACAAGACAUAAUUAACUCUUUUUAAAAUUGUGGUAAAAAAACAUGUAUUUACCAUCUUAACCAUUUUUAAGUAUACUGUAUAUUAGUGUUUACUAUAUGCACAUUGUUGUGCAACACAUCCCUAGGACUUUUUCAUCCAGAAUUCUUUUUUUUUGAGACAGAGUCUUGCUGUGUCGCCCAAGCUGGAGUUCAGUGGCACCAUCCUGGCUCACUGCAACUGCUGCCUCCCAGGUUCAAGUGAUUCUCCUGCCUCAGCCUCCCGAGUAGCUGGGAUUACAUGUGCUUGCCACCACGCCUGGCAAAUUUUUGUAUUUUUAGUAGAAAUGGUGUUUUACCAUGUUGGCCAGGACUGGCCUAGAACUCCAGACCUCAAGUGAUCCACCCGCCUCAGCAUCCCAAAGUGGUGGGAUUACAGGCAUGAGCAACUGUGCCUGGCCUAGCCAUUUUCUAUAAACCUGAAAAUAGAUGCCAGAAAAGAAGGUGCCGCUAUGAAAUGCUUUCUUGAGUGAUUUAUGUCUAACAUACAAUUAAACAUUUAUGAGAAGGAAAUUAUCAGGUUAAAAUAUAAACUCACUUGCCAAUUAUUUGAUUUUCAGGAUAUCUGACUUUUGUUAAUUACUGAAAAUAAAGUAUUAUUUCUAAUCACUA
rnacentral:lncRNA from 1 species